GGAAUGUUAGCUCAAUGGUCAGAGCACCCGGCUCAUAACCGGGCGGUUCAGGGUUCAAGUCCCUGACAUUCCACUA
rnacentral:tRNA from 2 species